UAUGAACAGUAAGUUUGUAAUCUUAGUAUUAAUAGUUAUGAUCUUUAAAUUAAAAGAAUUUGGCGGUAACUUAGUCUGUUCAGAGGAACCUGCCCUAUGAUCGAUAAUCCACGAUGAAUUUUACUUUUCUUAAACUUGUAUAUCUCUGUCAUUGAAUGUCUUAUUAGAGUAUUUUCUUUAAUCUUUAAUGAGGAAGAUGUCAGGUCAAGGUGCAGUAAUAGAGAAGAAGAGGUGGGUUACAUUUAAUAUAUUUAUGAAUAAAAGAAUGGAAAUAUUUUUGAAAUUGGAUUUGAAAGUAAUUUUUAUUAAAAUAUAGAAUUGAUUUUAGCUCUAAGUUAUGC
rnacentral:rRNA from 1 species